rnacentral:antisense_RNA from 1 species
GGGUGCUUGAGGCUGUCUGUCUCAAGCGCAAGCAAGAGCCAGAUAGACGAAAGCCCCGAAGGUCAAUUUUCAUUAACCAACGAGGCCCAACAUAAUGUUCGCAAAACUGAUGUUAGCCUCUCUCGACGCAGGAGGCAAGUAUG